ACUCAAAUGAAUUGACGGGGGCCCGCACAAGCGGCGGAGCAUGCGGAUUAAUUCGAUGCAACGCGAAGAACCUUACCUGGGUUCAACUACUACCGGAAAGCGCUAGAGAUAGUGCCCCUUUUUGUCGGUAGAUAGGUGGUGCAUGGCUGUCGUCAGCUCGUGUCGUGAGAUGUUGGGUUAAGUCCCGCAACGAGCGCAACCCUCGUUCUAUGUUGCCAGCACGUUAUGGUGGGGACUCAUAGGAGACUGCCGGGGUCAACUCGGAGGAAGGUGGGGAUGACGUCAAGUCAUCAUGCCCCUUAUGUCCAGGGCUUCACGCAUGCUACAAUGGCCGGUACAAAGGGCUGCGAUCCCGUGAGGGGGAGCGAAUCCCAAAAAGCCGGUCUCAGUUCGGAUUGGGGUCUGCAACUCGACCCCAUGAAGUCGGAGUCGCUAGUAAUCGCAGAUCAGCAACGCUGCGGUGAAUACGUUCCCGGGCCUUGCACACACCGCCCGU
rnacentral:rRNA from 1 species